CAAUAGCGUAUAUUAAAGUUGUUGCGGUAAAAAGGCUCGUAGUUGGAUUUCUGUUGAGAGCGACCGGUCCAUACCAUGUAUGCGUAUCUGGCUUGCUCUCGGCAUCCUCUCGAUAGACGUUACUGCGCUUGAUUGCGUGGUGCGGAUCUCGGGACUUUUACUUUGAGGAAAUUAGAGUGUUCACGGCAGGCUUUCGCCAGAAUACAUUAGCAUGGAAUAAUACUAUAGGAUCUUGGUUCUAUUUUGUUGGUUUCUAGAAUUGAGAUAAUGAUUAAUAGGGACAAUUGGGGGCAUUCGUAUCAACACGUCAGAGGUGGAAUUCUUGGAUUGUGUUGCGACGAACUACUGCGAAAGCAUUUGCCAAGGAUGUUUUCAUUGA
rnacentral:rRNA from 1 species